GUGGGGAAUAUUGGACAAUGGGCGAAAGCCUGAUCCAGCCAUGCCGCGUGUGUGAAGAAGGUCUUCGGAUUGUAAAGCACUUUAAGUUGGGAGGAAGGGCAGUAAGUUAAUACCUUGCUGUUUUGACGUUACCGACAGAAUAAGCACCGGCUAACUUCGUGCCAGCAGCCGCGGUAAUACGAAGGGUGCAAGCGUUAAUCGGAAUUACUGGGCGUAAAGCGCGCGUAGGUGGUUUUGUAAGUUGGAGGUGAAAGCCCCGGGCUCAGCCUGGAAAUGACCUCCAAAACUGCAGGACUAGAGUACGGUAAAGGGUAGUGGAAUCUCCUGUGUAGCGGUGAAAUGCGUAGAUAUAGGAAGGAACACCAGUGGCGAAGGCGACUACCUGGACUGAUACUGACACUGAGGUGCGAAAGCGUGGGGAGCAAACAGGAUUAGAAACCCGGGUAGUCC
rnacentral:rRNA from 1 species